rnacentral:lncRNA from 1 species
AUGGGGGCACUGUAUUGGAUGAGGCUACAGAAUUGGAUCAGAUCCCCAGUGAGCUACGUAUUCCACUUAUUUGAAGACAUUUUGGAUAUAGUGGUUGCUCCAGUGGAUAUGGUCAGUGAAGCUCUUGUGCAAAUGUUAAGUGGGAUCAAGACUGUUAUACUUUAUAUUUCCUCCAUGUUUGGGGGCAUUGAAGGGUACACAGGCAUCACUGAAACAGUGAACCUUGGUGGCACUGUACUGGAUGAGGUUACUGACUGGAUUAGAUUCCCAGUGGCCUACUUAUUCCAUUUAUUUGAAGAUAUCCUGGAUGUAGCAAUCAUUUAUCCAGCAGACAUUGCCAGUGAAGCAGCUCUGCAAAUUUUAAGUGGGAUCAAGAACAUUUCUUCAACCAUAUUCGGGAACCUUGAAGCUUGGUUUCCCAAAACGAGCACUGAUCCUGCGGGGCUGGCUGAAAUAGUUGUAGAGGAGGCUGCAGAAGUAAAGACCACUGUUUCUAAUUACCUAUCAAGUCUGUUUGCAGCGGAUGAAGGUGGUAUUUCUGACAUUAGCUUUGAUCCCAUGAAAGUUGUCACAGACACUGUUGAGGAGUUUGCUGACAGGAGGGAUAUGUUCUUGGCUUAUCUCUCAAACAUGCUCAUGGAAGACAAAGAUGACACACCGCAAGUGGUAAGACGAAAAGGAGAAUUUCUGCCCCCUAUGGAAAAAGUUCUUGAACAAGUGAAAGAAGCCAAAGAGAAAAAAGCUAGAGAGGAGAUAUACAAAAUCAUUCAAGAUAUGAGGGAGAAGAAGGCUGAUGGUGAAGAGGAAGAGAUAACACUACAACAAAUAAACAUAACAGUAGAAAAAGUCAAGAAGAGAAAAGAACACGAGAAAAAGGAGAUAGAAAAUGCUAAAAGAAAAGAAAAAUCCAAAGAGGACAAGACUCGAGAACCAACAAGUAAGAUUCAGUGUCGACUAGUAGGAGCUGUACCGUUUAGUCGACUAGUCGACUAGACCCGCACAUCCCUUAUACAUAUGUGAGUUCUCUCUUUGUCAGUAUGCUAAAAAUGACAGUCUCUCUGUCACACACAGUCAGUGGCCUUUACUUUUUUUUAUUUACUUGUACUCUGUUAAAAGCUAUUUCCUUUAUUUCUAAACUGUGGUGUACCAAGAUGUCUUACUAACAUACGCAAACACAAGGGUACAUGCCAAGAUGUCUUACUAACAUACGCAAACACAAGGGUACAUGCAUAAGUGUACUUUUAGACUUUUUAGAGUUUCACUCACAAAGAAAGAGUUCUGCUACCAACAGCAGCCUGCAAUAUCUUCUUUUCUCUCGGAAACAAAUAUAAUAUAGAUUUUGACACCUGGUUUUAAACGACUACAAACCGCAGGAUGAUACAACACAAUGCUGUUAAACUACAGCAGCAACAGCUGAUGUCAGAAUCUAGACAGCAAUGAGAUUAGAGUCACUGUAACUAAGCCCCAGAUGAUUUGAGAAUCACGGGACUCCCCUAAUACCCCUCACGUCUCACUCACCCACAUGCACCGUUAGCACAAAUCACAGUCUAAAGGACACAGCACUGCACUCUACAACUCAGAUCAACUAAACCUCAAGAUCAAGCUCUCAAAAGAGUAGAGUCAUGUAAAAGUACAACCUGAUGGAGGAGUCAAAAUCAUCCAAACGUCUUCUUUCCUCACCAGAAACUUUUAGAGAAAGCAAGAGAGAGGGGGGAAGAGAGUAAGAGAGAAAGAAGAGAAUGGAGACAGAAAGAAGGUUGACUGAGGAUGGGGAAAGAGAGAGCAUGCAGUCUGUCCUAAGAGAGUGGGAGGGUCAAAAAGUGAGCUGGUGAGAGAGAGAGGGAAGGGGGGGGGGCGGGGCGUCGACGAGAUAGCAGCAGAUUCNGCUGACAAAGCAUGCUCCUCUGAUGACAGGGUCGAAAAGUAGAGCUGGNGUGAGAGAGAGAGAAGGGGAGGGGGGGGCGCUCACAGAUAGCAGCAGAUUCUGCUGACAAAGCAUGCUUCCUCUGAUGCAAAAACCUAUUAUAUAUGCAGAUCAGAAUCAACCAAUAACUUAUAGCUUAUGAUAAAAUAAACUCAGCAAGCCAGUGAGGCAAUUUACAGUAACUCAGUAUCAUACAGUAUCAUUUGUUGUUCCAAACCUGCAUGAAAAAUAUAUUUUGGAGAGCACUGGGGUCCAAACAACAUUAAACCCCUGUUCCUUUCAUUGCAUGGACAAAAAUUAAACCAUUUAGGAAAUCUUGUUUUGUGUUGCACGGAAGAAAGCCCCAGAGAUUCGGAGCGACAUGAGGGUGAGUAAAUGAAGACAAAAUACUAAUUUUGUGGAUUGUUCCUUUAAGGUGCUGUGAAUCACUCCCUCUGUUGGCCAUUCGUUAGACAAAGAUAUAAACCAGUUCCAAACUCACACUCACUUUGUUAGGCUGGACAGAGAGAUUAAACCUGCCUCAAAGCUACAGAUUUCACACGUUUGGGGGAAUCAGUCAUCUCUGCAUAAUAAGCUUUGACAGCAGGAAAAAAAGAGACACCUCAGACUGCCCAUUUAAACAGCUAACAUGAGCAAAGUUACUAUUAUAUGCACAAACACACAUGGUUUCCUAUGGGGAGAACAUCAACCAUGAGUGAGUGAGUGAGUAUGUGGGCGCGUGUGUGUACGUGUGUUGUGCCGGGGGAAAGUGUGAGGGUGUGUAUGUCUGUGAACUCUGAUGUGACAGAGAGAAGGAUCCCUUCGAUCAGAGUGUGAUGCCACUGCCGCAAACAGUGUGUGUGUGCGCCUGAAUGCUGCCCGUGUGGUUUGGACCGCAACAGAUUUUUGUCCUAUAAUGACUGAUAGACCGAUCUCAG